ACAUACAAGUCGAGGGGUAGAGUUUCUUCGGAAACUUGAGACCGGCGCACGGGUGCGUAACGCGUAUGCAAUCUACCCUUUACUGGGGAAUAGCCCGGAGAAAUUCGGAUUAAUGCCCCAUAUGCCCACGGAAUCGCAUGGUUCAGUGGGGAAAAGUUCCGACGGUAAAGGAUGAGCAUGCGUCCCAUUAGCUAGUUGGUGAGGUAACGGCUCACCAAGGCGACGAUGGGUAGGGGCCUGAGAGGGUGAUCCCCCACACUGGUACUGAGACACGGACCAGACUCC
rnacentral:rRNA from 1 species